rnacentral:rRNA from 1 species
UCUACCCUUUGGCCUGGAAUAACACGAGGAAACUUGUGCUAAUACCGGAUAAGUCUUUACGGAGAAAGCUUUAUGCACCAUUGGAUGAGCCCGCACUUGAUUAGUUUGUUGGUAGGGUAAUGGCCUACCAAGACUAUGAUCAAUAGCUGAUUUGAGAGGAUGAUCAGCCACAUUGGGACUGAGACACGGCCCAAACUCCUACGGGAGGCAGCAGUGGGGAAUCUUGCACAAUGGAGGAAACUCUGAUGCAGCGAUGCCGCGUGAGUGAAGAAGGCCUUUGGGUUGUAAAGCUCUUUCGUCGGGGAAGAAAAUGACUGUACCCGAAUAAGAAGGUCCGGCU